rnacentral:ncRNA from 1 species
CUGAUUAGGACGCAUGGGUCGACGUUCGUGCAACGAGCCCGUUCCCUCUGCUGUAAUAAUAGCAGCAGGAGGAUGCACCAAUAUCAG